rnacentral:rRNA from 1 species
GAAACUGGGAGACUUGAGUGCAGAAGAGGAGAGUGGAAUUCCAUGUGUAGCGGUGAAAUGCGUAGAUAUAUGGAGGAACACCAGUGGCGAAGGCGGCUCUCUGGUCUGUAACUGACGCUGAGGCUCGAAAGCGUGGGGAGCAAACAGGAUUAGAUACCCUGGUAGUCCACGCCGUAAACGAUGAGUGCUAAGUGUUGGAGGGUUUCCGCCCUUCAGUGCUGCAGCUAACGCAUUAAGCACUCCGCCUGGGGAGUACGACCGCAAGGUUGAAACUCAAAGG